AUUGAACGCUGGCGGCAGGCCUAACACAUGCAAGUCGAACGGUAACAGGAAGAGGCUUGCUUCUUUGCUGACGAGUGGCGGACGGGUGAGUAAUGUCUGGGAAACUGCCUGAUGGAGGGGGAUAACUACUGGAAACGGUAGCUAAUACCGCAUAAUGUCGCAAGACCAAAGAGGGGGACCUUCGGGCCUCUUGCCAUCGGAUGUGCCCAGAUGGGAUUAGCUAGUAGGUGGGGUAACGGCUCACCUAGGCGACGAUCCCUAGCUGGUCUGAGAGGAUGACCAGCCACACUGGAACUGAGACACGGUCCAGACUCCUACGGGAGGCAGCAGUGGGGAAUAUUGCACAAUGGGCGCAAGCCUGAUGCAGCUAUGCCGCGUGUAUGAAGAAGGCCUUCGGGUUGUAAAGUACUUUCAGCGGGGAGGAAGGGAGUAAAGUUAAUACCUUGGCUCAUUGACGUUACCCGCAGAAGAAGCACCGGCUAACUCCGUG
rnacentral:rRNA from 1 species